AUUGAACGCUGGCGGCAGGCCUAACACAUGCAAGUCGAGCGGAUGACGGGAGCUUGCUCCUUGAUUCAGCGGCGGACGGGUGAGUAAUGCCUAGGAAUCUGCCUGGUAGUGGGGGACAACGUUUCGAAAGGAACGCUAAUACCGCAUACGUCCUACGGGAGAAAGCAGGGGACCUUCGGGCCUCGCGCUAUCAGAUGAGCCUAGGUCGGAUUAGCUAGUUGGUGGGGUAAUGGCUCACCAAGGCGACGAUCCGUAACUGGUCUGAGAGGAUGAUCAGUCACACUGGAACUGAGACACGGUCCAGACUCCUACGGGAGGCAGCAGUGGGGAAUAUUGGACAAUGGGCGAAAGCCUGAUCCAGCCAUGCCGCGUGUGUGAAGAAGGUCUUCGGAUUGUAAAGCACUUUAAGUUGGGAGGAAGGGCAGUAAGCUAAUACCUUGCUGUUUUGACGUUACCGACAGAAUAAGCACCGGCUAACUCUGUGCCAGCCGCCGCCGUAAUAC
rnacentral:rRNA from 1 species